GGGUUGUGAGGUUAAGCGACUAAGCGUACACGGUGGAUGCCCUGGCAGUCAGAGGCGAUGAAGGACGUGCUAAUCUGCGAAAAGCGUCGGUAAGGUGAUAUGAACCGUUAUAACCGGCGAUGUCCGAAUGGGGAAACCCAGUGCAAUUCGUUGCACUAUCGUUAACUGAAUACAUAGGUUAACGAGGCGAACCGGGGGAACUGAAACAUCUAAGUACCCCGAGGAAAAGAAAUCAACCGAGAUUCCCCCAGUAGCGGCGAGCGAACGGGGAGCAGCCCAGAGUCUGAAUCAGCUUGUGUGUUAGUGGAACGGUCUGGAAAGUCCGACGGUACAGGGUGAUAGUCCCGUACACCAAAAUGCACAGGUUGUGAACUCGAAGAGUAGGGCGGGACACGUGGUAUCCUGUCUGAAUAUGGGGGACCAUCCUCCAAGGCUAAAUACUCCUGACUGACCGAUAGUGAACCAGUACCGUGAGGGAAAGGCGAAAAGAACCCCGGCGAGGGGAGUGAAAAAGAACCUGAAACCGUGUACGUACAAGCAGUGGGAGCACCUUCGGGUGUGACUGCGUACCUUUUGUAUAAUGGGUCAGCGACUUAUAUUCUGUAGCAAGGUUAACCGUAUAGGGGAGCCGCAGGGAAACCGAGUCUUAACUGGGCGUUAAGUUGCAGGGUAUAGACCCGAAACCCGGUGAUCUAGCCAUGGGCAGGUUGAAGGUUGGGUAACACUAACUGGAGGACCGAACCGACUAAUGUUGAAAAAUUAGCGGAUGACUUGUGGCUGGGGGUGAAAGGCCAAUCAAACCGGGAGAUAGCUGGUUCUCCCCGAAAGCUAUUUAGGUAGCGCCUCGUGAAUUCAUCUUCGGGGGUAGAGCACUGUUUCGGCUAGGGGGUCAUCCCGACUUACCAACCCGAUGCAAACUACGAAUACCGAAGAAUGUUAUCACGGGAGACACACGGCGGGUGCUAACGUCCGUCGUGAAGAGGGAAACAACCCAGACCGCCAGCUAAGGUCCCAAAGUCAUGGUUAAGUGGGAAACGAUGUGGGAAGGCACAGACAGCCAGGAUGUUGGCUUAGAAGCAGCCAUCAUUUAAAGAAAGCGUAAUAGCUCACUGGUCGAGUCGGCCUGCGCGGAAGAUGUAACGGGGCUAAACCAUGCACCGAAGCUGCGGCAGCGACACUAUGUGUUGUUGGGUAGGGGAGCGUUCUGUAAGCCUGCGAAGGUGACCUGUGAGGGUUGCUGGAGGUAUCAGAAGUGCGAAUGCUGACAUAAGUAACGAUAAAGCGGGUGAAAAGCCCGCUCGCCGGAAGACCAAGGGUUCCUGUCCAACGUUAAUCGGGGCAGGGUGAGUCGACCCCUAAGGCGAGGCCGAAAGGCGUAGUCGAUGGGAAACAGGUUAAUAUUCCUGUACUUGGUGUUACUGCGAAGGGGGGACGGAGAAGGCUAUGUUAGCCGGGCGACGGUUGUCCCGGUUUAAGCAUGUAGGCUGGUUAUCCAGGCAAAUCCGGAUAAUCAAGGCUGAGGUGUGAUGACGAGGCACUACGGUGCUGAAGUAACAAAUGCCCUGCUUCCAGGAAAAGCCUCUAAGCAUCAGGUAACAUCAAAUCGUACCCCAAACCGACACAGGUGGUCAGGUAGAGAAUACCAAGGCGCUUGAGAGAACUCGGGUGAAGGAACUAGGCAAAAUGGUGCCGUAACUUCGGGAGAAGGCACGCUGGUGUGUAGGUGAAGUCCCUGCGGAUGGAGCUGAGACCAGUCGAAGAUACCAGCUGGCUGCAACUGUUUAUUAAAAACACAGCACUGUGCAAACACGAAAGUGGACGUAUACGGUGUGACGCCUGCCCGGUGCCGGAAGGUUAAUUGAUGGGGUUAUCCGUAAGGAGAAGCUCUUGAUCGAAGCCCCGGUAAACGGCGGCCGUAACUAUAACGGUCCUAAGGUAGCGAAAUUCCUUGUCGGGUAAGUUCCGACCUGCACGAAUGGCGUAAUGAUGGCCAGGCUGUCUCCACCCGAGACUCAGUGAAAUUGAACUCGCUGUGAAGAUGCAGUGUACCCGCGGCAAGACGGAAAGACCCCGUGAACCUUUACUAUAGCUUGACACUGAACAUUGAGCCUUGAUGUGUAGGAUAGGUGGGAGGCUUUGAAGCGUGGACGCCAGUCUGCGUGGAGCCAACCUUGAAAUACCACCCUUUAAUGUUUGAUGUUCUAACGUUGGCCCCUUACCGGGGUUGCGGACAGUGUCUGGUGGGUAGUUUGACUGGGGCGGUCUCCUCCCAAAGCGUAACGGAGGAGCACGAAGGUUAGCUAAUCCUGGUCGGACAUCAGGAGGUUAGUGCAAUGGCAUAAGCUAGCUUGACUGCGAGCGUGACGGCGCGAGCAGGUGCGAAAGCAGGUCAUAGUGAUCCGGUGGUUCUGAAUGGAAGGGCCAUCGCUCAACGGAUAAAAGGUACUCCGGGGAUAACAGGCUGAUACCGCCCAAGAGUUCAUAUCGACGGCGGUGUUUGGCACCUCGAUGUCGGCUCAUCACAUCCUGGGGCUGAAGUAGGUCCCAAGGGUAUGGCUGUUCGCCAUUUAAAGUGGUACGCGAGCUGGGUUUAGAACGUCGUGAGACAGUUCGGUCCCUAUCUGCCGUGGGCGCUGGAGAAUUGAGGGGGGCUGCUCCUAGUACGAGAGGACCGGAGUGGACGCAUCACUGGUGUUCGGGUUGUCAUGCCAAUGGCACUGCCCGGUAGCUAAAUGCGGAAGAGAUAAGUGCUGAAAGCAUCUAAGCACGAAACUUGCCCCGAGAUGAGUUCUCCCUGAGACUUUAAGUCUCCUGAAGGAACGUUAAAGACGAUGACGUUGAUAGGCCGGGUGUGUAAGCGCAGCGAUGCGUUGAGCUAACCGGUACUAAUGAACCGUGAGGCUUAACCUUACAACGCCGAAG
rnacentral:rRNA from 1 species